rnacentral:rRNA from 1 species
AUGUCCACAACAGUAGAUGAAGACUCUCCAAGUUCAGUGGGACGAAGCACGGUGGCUGGGUCCCCUGAGCGGACUCUGGGAAGAGCACCAACGCCGGUGAAACUCCGGCGAGUCCUAGAUCUCUACCCUAAGGAGGCCCUUCGGAAGAUCAAUCCUGUGAGGAUGAAAAAGGUCAGAAGGGAGUGUCUACUCAUCACAGAAGAACCAGCCACGUUCGAGGAGGCGAACGAAGAAGAAUCAUGGCGUAAAGCUAUGGAUGACGAGCUUGGUUCAAUCCAGGAUAAUGACACAUGGAGUCUUGUUAAUCUUCCUGAUGGGCACAAAGCAAUAGGUCUCAAGUGGGUCUUCAAAGUUAAAAAGGACUCACAGGGUGCCGUGGUGAAGCAUAAGGCUCAUUUGGUAGCCAAAGGAUAUGUCCAGCAGCAGGGUGUAGAUUUUGAAGAAGUAUUUGCUCCAGUUGCACGAAUGGAAUCAGUACGGUUGUUGAUUGCUCUAGCAGCCCAAGAAGCUUGGUUUUUACACCAUAUGGAUGUGAAGUCUGCGUUUCUGAAUGGAGUACUAGAGGAAGAAGUGUACGUGAAGCAGCCCACUGGUUUUAUCAAGAAGGGAGAAGAGCAUAAAGUAUUCAAAUUGCACAAAGCUUUGUAUGGCUUGCAGCAGGCACCUAGGGCAUGGAAUACCAAACUUGAUAGUACCUUGAUUUCACUCGGUUUUGUGAAGUGUCCGCUUGAGCACGCUAUGUACAAGAGAGGCACCGGUUCAGAUUGUCUCCUUAUUGGCGUGUAUGUAGAUGAUCUCUUGAUCACAGGAGCUGAUGAAAGGGAAAUUGGAAGGUUCAAGAAGCAAAUGAAGCAAUUAUUUAAAAUGAGUGAUCUGGGCUUGUUAAGCUAUUACCUCGGGAUCGAGGUGCGUCAAAGUAAAGACGGGAUCACGUUGUGCCAGGAGGCAUAUGCCUUGAAGAUCUUGCAGAAUUGUGGCAUGGAGGAUUGUAAUCCUUCGCAAACGCCUAUGGAGGCGAGGCUGAAGUUGAGCAAGAGGAGCAAGGCGCCGACUGUUGAUUCAACCGAGUACCGAAGUAUUGUCGGAAGUUUACGAUAUCUUGUGAACACUAGGCCAGAUUUGGCAUACUCGGUUGGCAUAGUAAGCAGGUACAUGGAGAACCCUACCACUGAGCAUUUGACUGUUGUGAAACAGAUUUUGAGAUAUGUGAAAGGGACUCUGAAGUAUGGCUGCAAGUACACAAGGAAGAAGGAGGACAAAUCACUUCUAGUGGGCUAUAGCGAUAGUGACUUGGCAGGGGAUGUAGAUGACCGAAAGAGUACAUCGGGUGUUGCAUACUUUCUGGGAGAAAAUCUGAUCACUUGGUUAUCGCAGAAGCAAAAGGUGGUUGCCCUCUCAUCUUGUGAAGCCGAAUACAUUGCAGCGGCGACAGCGGCGUGUCAAGGAGUGUGGCUCAGUAGACUCCUUGCUGAUUUGACGAACCAGCAGCCAGAACAAGUAAAGCUUAGAGUUGAUAACAAAUCCACAAUAUCAUUGUGCAAAAACCCCGUUCAUCAUGAUCGCAGCAAGCACAUUGAUAUAAGGUAUCAUUACAUCAGAGAAUGUGUAGAAGAAGGCAAGGUGGAGGUGGAUUAUGUCAGCACUAAAGAUCAACUCGCAGAUAUACUAACGAAGUCGUUAGGAAGACUGAAGUUUCAGGAGAUGCGCGAGAAGAUUGGAGUCGUGGCUGUUAAGUAG